rnacentral:rRNA from 1 species
AACGAACGCUGGCGGCAGGCCUAACACAUGCAAGUCGAGCGCGCCCUUCGGGGUGAGCGGCGGACGGGUGAGUAACGCGUGGGAACGUGCCCUUUGCUACGGAAUAGUCUCGGGAAACUGGGGGUAAUACCGUAUGAGCCCUUCGGGGGAAAGAUUUAUCGGCAAAGGAUCGGCCCGCGUUGGAUUAGGUAGUUGGUGGGGUAAUGGCCUACCAAGCCGACGAUCCAUAGCUGGUUUGAGAGGAUGAUCAGCCACACUGGGACUGAGACACGGCCCAGACUCCUACGGGAGGCAGCAGUGGGGAAUCUUAGACAAUGGGCGCAAGCCUGAUCUAGCCAUGCCGCGUGAGCGAUGAAGGCCUUAGGGUUGUAAAGCUCUUUCAGUGGGGAAGAUAAUGACUGUACCCACAGAAGAAGCCCGGCUAACUCCGUGCCAGCAGCCGCGGUAAUGUACAGUGU